ensembl:snoRNA SCARNA11 small Cajal body-specific RNA 11
UUGUCCUGGCCUGUGCAUUCCUACUUCCCUGUGCUCAGCUGUAACAGGGGGGUCUGUGGCAGGACGAACAGCAGUCUCCUCUCAGUUUAGGAGGGCUGUCCUAAGAAUAGGGCUGGCUCUUAAAGGCACGAGAGGACAAU